ensembl:lncRNA
CAAAAGGUCAGCCGUGGCUGCAGGGAUUGGAAGCUUUCUGGGUGAGGGCAUCUGCCCACACAGAUUGCUUGCUAGAGGCUGUAGGCAGGAGGCCUCAGUGUCUCACCAUACAGAGAUCUCCACACAGCUGCUUGCUCAUCCUCUUGACAUGGCAGCUGACUUCCCCCAGAGCAAGUGACCCCUGAGAGCAAGACAAAGCUGGAAGCAUCUUUUAUCACCUAGCCUCAGAAGCUACUCUCUGUUACUUGUGCAACGUUCCAUUCUGCUGAGGAUACAAAUCAGCCCAACUCAGUGUGGAAGAGGACAUAUAUCAGCGGUCUACCACAAUGGCUUACUCAUUCAUUCUAUGAAGGGCUUUGGGGUUUUGAGUGUCUAAUUAAGUAUUAGAGCCUGGUGGUACCACAGUGGAGUCAUACCCAUAAGAAGAUGAGGUCCCUCUGCUCCUGGAGAUCAACUUCCAGAAGAGGAGUAGAGAGACCCUAUAAAGAAGAUCCAGCACUGUACAACCUCUGGCUCUUCCCCAAAGUUGAAAUGAUCAUGAAAGGUAAACAUUUUGAAUCAAUUCAGGACAUCCAGGGCAGUGCUACUAAAGACACUCCAGAAAGAGGACUUCUAGAACUGCUUCAGAAAGUGGUAAAAAAGCUGAGAACUCGAAAGGUCAAGUGACUUGUACCAAGUGACAGGCCAAGCUUCCACCUGACCUUCAGUCCAGUCUUCUCAUCUCGGUCCUCCAUUUCUCCAGAAACGAGGAGCCAGUGAGAAGGGCCAUAGUUUUGUCAAGCUUUUCUCCUUGUGGAGAUUUGCAGCAGCGUGUUAUCUGUAAACCUGGGAGAAAUGCACAUCCUCAGACCCCACCCUUAGUGGGGGUGGGGCAGCCAUCUGUGUUUAACCGGCACGUAGGCAAUUGCAAUGCAGGCUAAAGUCUGUUUUAG